AGAAGUGUGAGACCCAACAGGGCUGCCCUGGAGCAGUUCGUCCAUGAGCGGUAACCCUGAGGGUCCCCUGGUACGGGGGUCUGCAGUGCCCCUGGCCUGACCACUCCAGCGUGUUUCAGGCCGCCUGCCCCAACCGUCUCUGGCUUAGGGCCAGAAGAGGGGGGAAAAAUAUCUCACAGAGUGAGCACAUGGCCUCCUGAGCGGUAGUCUUGGCUCUCAGCGGUGGGUUUUGAACUUGAUUACAGCUGGAGGAAUUCUAAACAAUCCAAGUCUCCUUGUCAUGGUGUUUAAGUGCAUUGUGCUCCUGUCUGAACAGAGGAAAUCACUGAGAACCCACGUCUAGUAACAGACACAGCAAAAGCUAUCGUCCUCUUGCCUGCUGCAAAGGGGACUUUCGGUCUCUACAAGCCCAAGGCUGACGUUGUCCCACAGCUUUCUGCCACCUGAGCGUCUGGCUGAAAGUGAAGUCCCUUGUCCAGUUGCCCUUAGUGCACGUCAGAAAGAUGCUCCGCUUCUAAAGCUGUUCUGUCCUGGAAACACUAAGGGUUCUUCCACUUCAGAAGUGCAAUGGAGCUGCUUUGUCACAAGCUAGUGGAUGGUAGUAUUAUUUCUGCAUUCCUUAAAUUUCUUUCUUGAGACUGGGAACAUUGGUCUAACUUGGCAAAGAUUGUGUUCUGGGAAGAUUUGUUUCAUGUUCUGGUGCUUUCAGGAAGGUGUAGAAGGACUUAGAGUCGAUGUGUGUAUGGCAUUUGUAGGGGAGGAAAAGGCAACCUUAUGCCCUUGGACCCGUGAUUCCUUACCACCAGGAUCAGCCAGGUACUACAGCUGCCUGCCCAGCUGCUUUGUGAUUCUAGAGUGAAAUAAGGUGAUGCCUCUGCCCACUUUCUAGUUCCGAGGUGUGCGUGCACUACAAAACGCAGCUAGUUCUAGAAAUGAAUCUAUUUGCUGUUCUUUGCACAGAGGCCAAGGGCUGAACGAUGUUUUGAGGCUGAGCAUUCCUCCCCUGGAUGAUCGGAUGGAUACGCAGCAUGAUUUCCUUGUGGGCAGGAGAUGGAGAGCCCACAGCAAUGUUGUCCAUGCUGCAUUCACCCAUGGGUGUGUUGAUUUAACUCAUUGCUUUAGUAUUUGAAGUUCUAUUGCUUGAUUCACUUAUUGAUUACUUUUUUUUUCUUGGAAGACAUUUCUCUCACAUAUUAAAGCAUACCCAGGGUUCCAGUAGCCUCCUGUUCCUCCAUCAAGCUCAAACCUCGUUGCUGCUCCCGGUGUGCAGUUGGAAAUGGGCAGGCACCAUUUGUGACUGCCUGAAUAUCCUGAGUCACACGUUACCAGCUGGCAUCUGUGCUGCAGUUCCAUUUCUUCCUUUACGACUGCACUCCCUAGAGGAGGCUUCAACAAUUGCAGUUGUCAGCUGAAGCGUGUUGUGUGCUCCUGCCUGAGUCGCACAAUUGGUGGACAACCUCUGACUACGUCUGUGGGGUGAGCCGCCUGUGAUUUGUUACUGUACGUCUGGCGUUUCCAUGCCAGAAAAUGGAACAGGUGUAGCAAUAUUUAAAAUGCGUUUUCACUACAUUGGCCAGCCGAAUAUCUGCGUUGUGAAGAUGGCAAUGUGAUGUCUUCAUUGAAUAAUUGUUGGAGACAGGUGAUGAUUCUAGGAUUUAAUUCUGUUAAAUCCAGUUGCUUUGGCCUCUGUUCUUGCCUGUGCUUUGCACCUGCCACGGAGCCCCAGCAAACUUGGCAAGCAAGCCUUCGGCACUGUAGAGAAAACAACUGUCUGGAGCAGGCACCUCCUGCCUGGUGUCCUGGAUGCACCCCGAGCUCUCCGGCACUGUCUGCGGUCAGAACAGCGUGUUGCUGCAGGUCCGAUGCAAAAGAUGGAUAAAAUCUCGCCGGGUGUCUUUGCGGGCUCCUGAUUGCACCUUUCGCCUGCUGGUUUCAUGCCUGGUGAUUUUUACGGUGCCGAAAGGGAGGAAGGAGGUGACGGAACUGUGAAAAAUCGAGGCCGGGUCAUUCCUGCCAGACGAGGACAGAGUCCUGUAGCCAGUCAGAUGUGACGGAACGCGCCUGCUGAUGCUGCUGCCAGGAAGCUCGAGAGAAAUGCGACCGAACGGUAGCAGUGCGCAUGUGCCUCUGGAGAAAGGAGGCUAUCUAGGUCAAAGUCUACCGCAAGCAGUGACUGACACAGUCCCCAGCCGAAGUCAGGCAGGGCUGCCUGUACUCCUCGAAGAGCACCCUGCUGACCGCAGGGCGGUUUUUGCAGGAGCACCUUGGAAAGCUUGUGCUGACUUCUGUGGUCCCUGUGGCGAUCCCAGGGAGUAGGAGGAGAUCCAGAACUCUCUGAAACCCCAGAACCAGGAUUCUUUGAAAGCCAGGACAAGUAAUGAUGCGAGGCUUGGCUGAGGCUGACCGCUAGCCUGCCUCUUGCGCUCCUUUUAUACGUGUCCAGGGAGCAGCCUCCAGUUUAUACGAUUGCACUCUAGUAAACAAUUUUUCAUGCAGAUAUGGGCAGCAGAUGUUACUCAUGCCUGUGUGAACGCUUCGAUGUGUUUACGACGGGACAUUCCUCAGAUCCAGCCCUAUUAAACAAUGGACGUAGCCACCAGAAUGAAGUCCCACUGGUUAAAGCCCUUCUGUUACGGCUUGCUGCGAACACUUUGAAGGGUGGUCACGCCAUCCCUCUUCGGGCACUCGAGGGGAUUGACUCACAGAUAUGAGCAAAAUAAAAUUAGCUGGCUGAGGUGGCUGCGACCCCAGCUGUGUCCCCGCUGCCCAGGUCCCAGAAGGGGCCACCCCCGCUGCAGGGCUGGCUGUGCAAGGCAACUCCUAAGCUGCUGGAGCUGCAGCCCGUUCUCAGGGGCAUUAAUGUUUGUCUGGCUCCUCAGUGAAACAGGCCAGGAAGUUUAACCAGAAGAAAAAUGUACACUUUUUCAUCUGUUUGUUUAAUUUCUCAGAUGGCCUCACCCCGGAUCAGAGAAGCUCCGGUGCUGCUGCGAGGGCAGGGCAGGGGCAGGCAGGCAGAGGGAGGGAUGACCUUCCCUUCUGGGAGCAGCUAGCCUAACGUCAGGUUUGCUGUCUCACAGAACUAUGCCCUGUGGAUAUUUUGGGCGCUGGGCUGCCUUAAUUUUCUUGAGAGUGAAAGAUGAACAGUGCGUGCUUACGGCGUUUCUAAGUUGUGUCGUUUUUUUGAUUUAAAUCUACUUCAUGUGUUAUGUAGAAACGUGUAAAUUAUUAGGGAUAGGAAAAAUAAGAAUUGUAGGAAUGGAGACUAUGGACAUAUGAAGGCUAAAUGUGUUCCUUUUUGGUUUCCUUUUAAGACCUCAAAGCCAAAGCUCGUUAUCAAACUGUCUCUAGAGAGUGAAGUCUUUAAAGAGACCUUCUUUGUAUAUAAAUCAUGUACACAGCAAAGUACAAAAAUGGAGCCAAGGAAAGCCCCCCCCUCCCUGGAUGCAGUUGUCAACGACAGCGUUCUGAGCUCGGUGAGGACAGCUGUACCCUUGGUCAAGCAGAAGCUGCAAGGAGCACUGCCACCCCGGGAUCCGUCCUAAAUAACCUCUGUUUCUGCGAUCCGAGUCUUCCCCCAGCAUUUGAAUAUCAACUGCUUUAGAUGGUUAAUGUAAAACUGACAACACAGCGCUUCUAAGAAAGAGAAGAGUUGCUUCACCUUUCAUGUACGUACAACCCGCUGCCCUUUGUAUUUAGAUUUCUGGUGUCUGUGUGUGUGGAGCUGAUUUGUCCGUAAUUGUUUGCUUUCUCCGGAGCCUUUUGAAGAUUGUCUUCAAGCCAGUUCCUUAUAUUAAAAAUAAAUUCUUCCAAGCCACCAAUAAAAUGUCAGCCGUGAUUAAAGCCUGACUUCUCGUUCCGAGAGUUGUCUCCUGAGUGCCGUGAGGUCGCUCUGAGUCAGCGGCUGCCAGGACCGUUACUCCUGGGAGCGCGGGCAGAGCCUCCAGUUCACAGUCAUCGUCUGAACGCUUUCACUGCAUCUUAAAUUGCUUUGCAGCGUGCUGGAAGAAAUGCAAACUGCAGGGCCAGUUGGGCACAGAACUCCUCUUUCAGGCACCUCAAACCUUGGAAAAGUACCCUUGGUGUUAACGUGGAAGUCGGGUUUGUGGUAGGGAGAGUUUUACUUUGUACAUAUUAAAGAAUGAGGAGGGGGAAGCUAUGCUGGAGGCAUACGCUUUCAACCCUUUUCUGCUGAAAUAAAACUAAGGGAAGGGCUCUGUGUUUUGUGUGAUGUCCUGCAGAACAGAAAUAAAGCCUGACAGGGCUUUCAUGAUAUGGAAGCUUUAUUAUUAUUUUUAUUUUAAUUAUAAAAUAAUAUACAGGUAUUAAGGUUGCAAGUACAAGCCCUGAGAAGCUACGCAGUCCUAUUGUAA